GAUCAUGGCUCAGAUUGAACGCUGGCGGCAUGCGUAACACAUGCAAGUCGAACGGCGUUUGGUGCUUGCACCAGACAUAGUGGUGGACGGGUGAGUAAUGCGUAGGAAUCUGUCUUAGAGAGGGGGACAACCCGAGGAAACUUGGGCUAAAACCGCAUAUUCUCGAGAGAGGAAAGCAGGGGACCGGAAACGGCCUUGUGCUCUAAGGUGAGCCUACGUCGGAUUAGCUAGUUGGUAGGGUAAAAGCCUACCAAGGCGAUGAUCUGUAGCUGGUCUGAGAGGACGGACAGCCACACUGGGACUGAGACACGGUCCAGACUCCUACGGGAGGCAGCAGUGGGGAAUAUUGGACAAUGGGGGGAACCCUGAUCCAGCGAUGCCGCGUGUGUGAAGAAGGCCUGCGGGUUGUAAAGCACUUUCAGUGGGAAAGAGAAGCGUCUUGUGAAUAAUGGGACGUGGAGACGUUACUCACAGAAGAAGCACCGGCUAACUCUGUG
rnacentral:rRNA from 1 species